GAUGAACGCUGGCGGCGUGCCUAAUACAUGCAAGUCGAGCGAACAGACGAGGAGCUUGCUCCUCUGACGUUAGCGGCGGGCGGGUGAGUAACACGUGGAUAACCUACCUAUAAGACUGGGAUAACUUCGGGAAACCGGAGCUAAUACCGGAUAAUAUAUUGAACCGCAUGGUUCAAUAGUGAAAGACGGUUUUGCUGUCACUUAUAGAUGGAUCCGCGCCGCAUUAGCUAGUUGGUAAGGUAACGGCUUACCAAGGCAACGAUGCGUAGCCGACCUGAGAGGGUGAUCGGCCACACUGGAACUGAGACACGGUCCAGACUCCUACGGGAGGCAGCAGUAGGGAAUCUUCCGCAAUGGGCGAAAGCCUGACGGAGCAACGCCGCGUGAGUGAUGAAGGUCUUCGGAUCGUAAAACUCUGUUAUUAGGGAAGAACAAAUGUGUAAGUAACUCUGCACGUCUUGACGGUACCUAAUCAGAAAGCCACGGCUAACUACGUG
rnacentral:rRNA from 1 species